ACAUCGUCCCCCCUUAGCUGUCUCUGUCCCAGUGCCCAGCCCUGCCCGCCUGCCGAGAUGUGUCCCUGGCACCCCCGGGGAGCCGCAUCUUCCCCCUUAGCUGUCUCUGUCCCUGUGCCCAGCCCUGCCCGCCUGCCGAGAUGCGUCCCUGGCACCUCCGGGGAGCCACAUCGUCCCCCCUUAGCUGUCUCUGUCCCUGUGCCUAGCCCUGCCCGCCUGCCAAGAGUGUGUUCCUGGCAACUCCAGGGAGCCACAUCGUCCCCCUUAGCUGUCUCUGUCCCGGUGCCCAGCCCUGCCCGUCUGCGGGAGUGUGUCCCUGGCACCCCCGGG